AUUGAACGCUGGCGGCAUGCCUAACACAUGCAAGUCGAACGGCAGCACAGCAGUAGCAAUACUGUGGGUGGCGAGUGGCGGACGGGUGAGGAAUACGUCGGAAUCUGCCCAGUCGUGGGGAUAACUAGCCGAAAGGUUAGCUAAUACCGCAUACGACCGAGAGGUGAAAGCGGGGGACCGCAAGGGCCUCGCGCGAUUGGAUGAGCCGACGUCGGAUUAGCUAGUUGGCGGGUAAAGGCCCACCAAGGCGACGAUCCGUAGCUGGUCUGAGAGGAUGAUCAGCCACACUGGAACUGAGACACGGUCCAGACUCCUACGGGAGGCAGCAGUGGGGAAUAUUGGACAAUGGGCGCAAGCCUGAUCCAGCAAUGCCGCGUGUGUGAAGAAGGCCUUCGGGUUGUAAAGCACUUUAUCAGGAACGAAAAGCGUUGGAUUAAUACUCUGACGUGCUGACGGUACCUGAGGAAUAAGCACCGGCU
rnacentral:rRNA from 1 species